UGCAUAUCAAAAAGCGGAGGAAAAGAAACCAACAGGGAUUGCCUUAGUAACGGCGAGUGAAGCGGCAAAAGCUCAAAUUUGAAAUCGGCCAACAGGUCGAGUUGUAAUUUGUAGAUUGUACCUUGAGAGCGGAUCAAAGUCUGUUGGAACACAGCGCCUUAGAGGGUGACAGCCCCGUAGGAUCUAUUCUCAUUGUAAGGUGCUUUCGAAGAGUCGAGUUGUUUGGGAAUGCAGCUCUAAGUGGGAGGUAAAUUCCUUCUAAAGCUAAAUAUUGACGAGAGACCGAUAGCGAACAAGUACUGUGAAGGAAAGAUGAAAAGCACUUUGAAAAGAGAGUGAAAAAGUACGUGAAAUUGUUAAAAGGGAAGGGUAUUGAAUCAGACGUGGUGCUGUUGUUCAACUAUGUUUUGGCAUGGUGUACUCAGCAGUACUAGGCCAAGGUGGGGUGUUUGGGAGUGAAAAAGAGAUGAGAAUGUAGCUCUUCGGAGUGUUAUAGCUCAUUUUCAUAGCUCCUCAGGCGCCUCAGGACUGCGCUCGGCAAGGACUUGGCAAAGACAGCGGGU
rnacentral:rRNA from 1 species